GAUGAACGCUAGCGGCAGGCCUAACACAUGCAAGUCGAGGGGCAGCAUAGAACUACUUUCGGGUAGUUUUGAUGGCGACCGGCGCACGGGUGCGUAACGCGUAUGCAACCUACCUUUAACUGGGGGAUAAUUCGGAGAAAUCUGGUCUAAUACCCCAUAUUAAUAUUUAAGGCAUCUUAUAUAUUUGAAAGCUCCGGCGGUUAAAGAUGGGCAUGCGUUGUAUUAGCAAGUUGGUGAGGUAACGGCUCACCAAUGCUACGAUACAUAGGGGGACUGAGAGGUUUACCCCCCACACUGGAACUGAGACACGGUCCAGACUCCUACGGGAGGCAGCAGUGAGGAAUAUUGGUCAAUGGACGCAAGUCUGAACCAGCCAUGCCGCGUGCAGGAAGACGGCUCUACGAGUUGUAAACUGCUUUUGUAUUAGGGUAAACCCGGGUACGUGUACCCGGCUGAAAGUAUAAUACGAAUAAGGAUCGGCUAACUCCGUGCCAGCAGCCGCCGUAACAC
rnacentral:rRNA from 1 species